GAUGAACGCUAGCGGGAGGCCUAACACAUGCAAGCCGAGCGGUAGAGUCUCUUCGGAGACUUGAGAGCGGCGCACGGGUGCGGAACACGUGUGCAACCUGCCUUUAUCUGGGGGAUAGCCUUUCGAAGGGAAGAUUAAUACCCCAUAAUAUACUGGAUGGCAUCAUCUGGUAUUGAAAACUCCGGUGGAUAGAGAUGGGCACGCGCAAGAUUAGAUAGUUGGUGAGGUAACGGCUCACCAAGUCAGCGAUCUUUAGGGGGCCUGAGAGGGUGAUCCCCCACACUGGUACUGAGAACCGGACCAGACUCCUACGGGAGGCAGCAGUGAGGAAUAUUGGACAAUGGGGGAGAGCCUGAUCCAGCCAUCCCGCGUGAAGGACGACGGCCCUAUGGGUUGUAAACUUCUUUUGUAUAGGGAUAAACCUAGAUACGUGUAUCUAGCUGAAGGUACUAUACGAAUAAGCACCGGCUAACUCCGUG
rnacentral:rRNA from 1 species